GACGAACGCUGGCGGCGUGCUUAACACAUGCAAGUCGAACGGAAAGGCCCUGCUUUUGUGGGGUGCUCGAGUGGCGAACGGGUGAGUAACACGUGAGUAACCUGCCCUUGACUUUGGGAUAACUUCAGGAAACUGGGGCUAAUACCUGAUAGGAGCUCCUGCUGCAUGGUGGGGGUUGGAAAGUUUCGGCGGUUGGGGAUGGACUCGCGGCUUAUCAGCUUGUUGGUGGGGUAGUGGCUUACCAAGGCUUUGACGGGUAGCCGGCCUGAGAGGGUGACCGGCCACAUUGGGACUGAGAUACGGCCCAGACUCCUACGGGAGGCAGCAGUGGGGAAUAUUGCACGAUGGGCGGAAGCCGGAUGCAGCAACGCCGCGUGCGGGAUGACUGCCUUCGGGUUGUAAACCGCUUUCGCCUGUGACGAAGCGUGAGUGACGGUAAUGGGUAAAGAAGCACCGGCUAACUACGUG
rnacentral:rRNA from 1 species